CUAACGACCAAAUUACGUGAGGCACUGAGUAUCGUUAGCAGCGAUACGUAGAACUAAUAAGUACAAUAAAAGCCAGAGUCGAAGUUAGUCACGAUUCGACAGUGAGAGGAAACAGUUCUCUAUUGAUCAUUAUACGUUUCAUUAUUCAUUUUUUGUAUUAAUUCCAUCUUAAUAAAAGUCUAACAAAUUAUCUGAAUUACGAUGCCAAACAAGAAGAUAGAUUCGUGGUUAGAAUACAAAAAAAUUUUACGGCCAUAUAACUCGCUAUAUAAUAUAUAUAGAUAGUAUAAACAUAGUUGGAACAAUGUAAUCACUACUAGAGUUGUUAAAAUAACGCAAUGUUAAUUGUGUGGUAUAUUGAUAGUCCGAUAAUCGUAAAAAGAGCAUCGAUAUUCGAGAAAUUCGAUUAAACAUUUAUGAAUACAAGUAAUAAAGAGUGUAAUGAAACAACAUUCGAAGAAUUCUUGGACACACCAAAGAGAAAGAAAAGUCAACAAGUAGAUCUAUGAACGAACAACACAAACGUGAAUAACAUUAGAGGACAAAACAAUCGAUACGAAAGCAGUGUGAUGAGAAUGUACUGACAAAGCCUGAAAGAGAGCAGAGAAGUAUGGCCGGAAUCGAGCGAAGCAAUUCAUCAAGAGAGUCGAUUUGUUCUUGUAUGGAAUGUAUAUUAAUGCUUAUAAAUAUGAGGAGUAAUAGAGGUGGUUAAGAAAUAUUCUAUACGAACAUAUAAUGGACACAAUAUGGACAGAUCAAGAGGAUAGAAAUGUAAAAAAAUUAAAUCUAUAAAUGAAUAACAAGUGUCAAUAACAUUAGAGGACAACUAUGUUGAAUAACAUUAUUGAUGAUAGAAAAGAUAUAACCAAUAACAAUGGAGAGAACAAUAUUAAGGGAACAUGAAAUUUGUAAGAGAUGAAGAAAUAUUAUCAACAUUUAAUCCCAUUAAAGCAGAAUUCAAUUUUGAGAAAUUAAUUGAAAAAUAUGUCGAAUGUGAAGGAAUGGCAAUAUGGUGAUGUAAUAAUUUUCUGUCUCUAGUUUACUCCUAAGUCAUUCGCAAUAUUUUUUAGCAGCUUUCUUUUCUGACAUUCCAUUAUCCCUUUAAAAACCAUCUGAAAAGGAAUAUUUAAUUUUAGACAACGUAUCUUUGUUAUACUAUUUUCCACAUAAUUAAUCUGAGUUUAUGAUAAGUACAUAUCCCAAUCGUCAUCAUUUAAAUUACAAGUAGCAAUUUAAAACAAUCGGUUGUAUUUCUUAGAUUGAUCGUUUAUUUGGUUACGAUUUUUCCAUAUCUCUCUUAUUAAUGAUACAUUUGAGUUGGCCAUAAUAUGAAAUAUCUCUUAAGAAUAAUGAAGUUUUAUUGAAGGUAGGGUAACUGAUUACUUUGAUCGCAGAAUAAAUGUUAUAGCUCCAUAUUGAGACAAUAAAAUAUUUAUUUUCAUUUGGAUGUGAUAAAUAAUCUUAGGUGAUAUUAGUCUUCCGAUUGGGUGUGAUAAAUGAUCUCAGAUAAUUUAGAUGAAUAACUGCAAAGGCUUUAUUUUCUUCUCUAGAAAAUAUUGCAACCCUGACUGUUUAUUCGUUGGAGUUUUAUAAUAUAAGCAAUUUAUACAUCGGUUUAUUCCUCAAAUAGCAUCCUUCUUUUGUUGCCAUUAAAAUCUUCUUGAUUUAAAUGGGACAUAAAUUCUUGAGUAAUUAUAGUAAUUAUUAUGCAAGUUGAAUUUUCAUAAAUGUUUAGC